rnacentral:rRNA from 1 species
UACGUAGGGUGCAAGCGUUGUCCGGAAUUAUUGGGCGUAAAGAGCUCGUAGGCGGUCUGUUACGUCGGCUGUGAAAACCUGGGGCUCAACCCGGGCCUGCAGCCGAUACGGGCAGACUAGAAUUCGGUAGGGGAGACUGGAAUUCCUGGUGUAGCGGUGAAAUGCGCAGAUAUCAGGAGGAACACCGGUGGCGAAGGCGGGUCUCUGGCCGAUAUUGACGCUGAGGAGCGAAAGCGUGGGGAGCGAACAGG